rnacentral:rRNA from 1 species
UGGAGGCAGCAGUGGGGAAUCUUCCGCAAUGGACGAAAGUCUGACGGAGCAACGCCGCGUGAGUGAAGAAGGUCUUCGGAUUGUAAAGCUCUGUCGUUUGGGACGAACGUGGGAUGUGUGAAUAAUGCAUCCUAAUGACGGUACCAAAGGAGGAAGCCACGGCUAACUACGUGCCAGCAGCCGCGGUAAUACGUAGGUGGCAAGCGUUGUCCGGAAUUAUUGGGCGUAAAGGGCGUGUAGGUGGAUAAUUAAGUCGUGUGUCUAAGUGCGGGGCUCAACCCCGUAUGGGCGCAGGAAACUGGAUAUCUUGAGUGCAGGAGAGGAAAGUGGAAUUCCCAGUGUAGCGGUGAAAUGCGUAGAUAUUGGGAGGAACACCAGUGGCGAAGGCGACUUUCUGGACUGUGUCUGACACUGAGGCGCGAAGGCUAGGGGAGCGAACGGGAUUAGAUACCCCGGUAGU